UACGUAGGGAGCAAGCGUUGUCCGGAAUCAUUGGGCGUAAAGCGCGCGUAGGCGGCCCCGUAAGUCCGCUGUGAAAGUCAAAGGCUCAACCUUUGAAAGCCGGUGGAAACUGUGGGGCUAGAGUCCGGAAGAGGCGAGUGGAAUUCCUGGUGUAGCGGUGGAAUGCGCAGAUAUCAGGAGGAACACCUGUGGCGAAAGCGGCGCACUGGACCACAACUGACGCUGAGGAGCGAAAGCGUGGGGAGCGAACAGG
rnacentral:rRNA from 1 species